ACAGCAGCCGCCGCGGUAAUACGUAGGGUGCAAGCGUUAAUCGGAAUUACUGGGCGUAAAGCGUGCGUAGGCGGCUUUUUAAGUCGGAUGUGAAAUCCCUGAGCUUAACUUAGGAAUUGCAUUCGAUACUGGGAAGCUAGAGUAUGGGAGAGGAUGGUAGAAUUCCAGGUGUAGCGGUGAAAUGCGUAGAGAUCUGGAGGAAUACCGAUGGCGAAGGCAGCCAUCUGGCCUAAUACUGACGCUGAGGUACGAAAGCAUGGGGAGCAAACAGGAUUAGAUACCCCCGUAGUCCCUGUCUCUUAUAC
rnacentral:rRNA from 1 species